rnacentral:rRNA from 1 species
UACAGAGGGUGCGAGCGUUAAUCGGAAUUACUGGGCGUAAAGAGUGUGUAGGCGGUGUUCCCAGUCUGUUGUGAAAUCUCCCGGCUUAACUGGGAGGGUGCAGCGGAAACUAGAAUGCUAGAGGGUGGGAGAGGUAAGCGGAAUUCCUGGUGUAGCGGUGAAAUGCGUAGAUAUCAGGAGGAACACCUGUGGUGUAGACAGCUUACUGGACCACUUCUGACGCUGAGACACGAAAGCGUGGGUAGCAAACAGG